GAUGAAGAACGUAGCGAAAUGCGAUAAGUAAUAUGAAUUGCAGAUUUUCGUGAAUCAUCGAAUCUUUGAACGCACAUUGCGCCCUUUGGUAUUCCAAAGGGCAUGCCUGUUUGAGCGUCAUUUCUCUCUCAAAUCUUCGGAUUUGGUUUUGAGUGAUACUCUUAGUCAGACUAGGCGUUUGCUUGAAAUGUAUUGGCAUGAGUGGUACUAGAUAGUGCUAAACUGUUUCAAUGUAUUAGGUUUAUCCAACUCGUUGACCAGUGAAGUAUUUGUUUAUUACACAGGCUCGGCCUUACAACAACAAACAAAGUUUGACCUCAAAUCAGGUAGGACUACCCGCUGAACUUAAGCAUAUCAAUAAGCGGAGGA
rnacentral:misc_RNA from 1 species